rnacentral:lncRNA from 1 species
CGCUGGUUUUUAGGUUAGCAGAGGUUGGAGGAAGGGCCAGACUGAGGCGGAGCUUGCUGCUGUCAAGGAAAAAAAAAAAAAAAGAAAAGAGAAAAAAAGGGGGCUGCAAAUUGCUGUUCUCAGCUUUUUUCUCUCCUCUCCUCCACCCCCGCCCUCCCCCGAAAAAAGGCAGUGCUUUCUCUUAGGCUCUUAAAAAUGAUGCAGAAUUUUAACCAUCUGCUGUACCCGGAGCUCUUCGCUGGUGCUGCACAGCUGAAUGUUUGCAAAGGGAAGAAUUUGUAAAGCUUUCUGAAAUAGACAACUAUUUGUAAGCAUGUAAAAUAUUUUAGGGAAUCCUUUCUUUAAAGAAAGGUUCUGUUUAAUUGCAGACUGAGUGAGAAGCUCGCUCUGGAAAUGUAGCUGUAGCUGAAUGCAGCAAAGCCGCCCUUUACCAGCUGUGUGUGUAUAGAUGGGGGUAAAAUUAUUUAAUGAGCAAUAUGGGGACUGGCAAAGGAGCCAUGUAACUGGCGCAGCCUCCUGAACUGCCAUGUGCCGGACUUGGAAAGUAUUUAAUGGUCAUUGGAAAAAAAUGAGGAAGAGGAGGGUGUGGCUGCUGCUGGGAGGCUCUGGCCCUGCAAAGGGUCCCUGGCUCGUAGAGAUGUGGUCCUGCAUCAGCACAAAACGAAGACUUCUUUUCGCAGCUCUGUCUGGGAGGCCCCGGUUGUGAGCGGAGGGAGCGGAGGGUUUGAGCGCGGUGCCCCGGGCAGAGCUGGGUGCCCGCUCGCAGUCCCGGCGCUUCAGCCGGGCUGCCGGAGCGCCGCCCGGGACGGACGGACGGACGGACAGAGCGGGCUCCCCGUGCGGGGCUGCCAAGGCACCGCCGCUAACUCACCUGCGCCCGGCGAGCUGUCCCGAGGCAAGAGUAGAGUAAAAAAACACCGGGGAAAAAAAAGCUGCAAGAUAAACAUUAUGUCGGCAGCACCCUUAAAAACCUGCUCGUGCAACCACCCCUUUUAAUGACUCCUUUCUUGGAGGAAAAAAAAAAAAUUAAAAAAUAAAUCACUCGUGCUAGUGCCA